rnacentral:lncRNA from 1 species
UGGAGAACCAGGAGGGGGCUGAGGGAGCUGGGAAGGGCCUGGAGAACCAGGAGGGGCUGAGGGAGCUGGGAAGGGCCUGGAGAACCAGGAGGGGCUGAGGGAGCUGGGCAGGGGCUGAGCCUGGAGCAAAGGAGGCUCAGGGGCCCUGGUGGCUCUGCACAAGUCCCUGCCAGGAGGGGACAGCCCAGGGAACAGGGACAGGAGCAGAGGGAACGGCCUCAUUUGCAUCCUGAUUAACAGCUCCUAUUUAUGGGAAUCAGGAAUUUAUCCACAAUUUUUAAGGCUUCUCUCCAUGCUGGGCUUCCUGUGUUGUAUCUCCCUCUAAGGCUGGAUCAGGAUGAUCCAAUUCCUCAGAGACCUGGACAAGAGCUUGGCUGUGACCUCACCACAUCCAGGAGAUCCGCAGGAAAACCAUUCCCUGGAAAUCCUGCAGCCCCUGGAGGAGAGGCUGGAAGGACAAGCCCAGCAGGACACCAGCCAGGAAAACGGGAAUUCCGACGGCGGCUCCGCCAUCCCGAGGCACAGAUCCAGGAGAUCCCACCCCGUCAGGAUCCCAUUCCAGAGCCAUCCCUGUGAUCCAGGAGGAAGCAAUUCCCCCUCCCUGCAGGCUCCACCGCCAGCUCAUCCCCCCGGUGCUCCGGGAGCUCGGGAAUUCCCGUUGGGAUCCACGGUG